UGGGGGAUAUUGCACAAUGGGCGAAAGCCUGAUGCAGCGACGCCGCGUGGGGGAUGAAGGCCUUCGGGUUGUAAACUUCUUUUGCUCUGAACAAGGCAUGCCUUUGGGGUGUGUUGAGUGUAGGGGUUGAUUAGCGCCGGCUAACUACGUGCCAGCAGCCGCGGUAAUACGUAGGGCGCGAGCGUUGUCCGGAAUUAUUGGGCGUAAAGGGCUUGUAGGUGGCUGGUUGCGUCUGUCGUGAAAGCUCAUGGCUUAACUGUGGGUUUGCGGUGGGUACGGGCUGGCUUGAGUGCAGUAGGGGAGGCUGGAAUUCCUGGUGUAGCGGUGGAAUGCGCAGAUAUCAGGAGGAAUACCGGUGGCGAAGGCGGGUCUCUGGGCUGUUACUGACGCUGGGGAGCGAAAGCGUGGGGAGCGAACAGG
rnacentral:rRNA from 1 species